GCCGUGGUAGUUCAGUGUUGGAAUUCUCGCCUUCCAUGCAGGAGACCGGGGUUUGAUUCCUGGCCAAUGCA
rnacentral:tRNA from 1 species